rnacentral:rRNA from 1 species
GAUGAACGCUGGCGGCGUGCCUAAUACAUGCAAGUAGAACGCUGAAGCUUGGUGCUUGCACCGAGCGGAUGAGUUGCGAACGGGUGAGUAACGCGUAGGUAACCUGCCUCUUAGCGGGGGAUAACUAUUGGAAACGAUAGCUAAUACCGCAUAAAAGUCGAUAUCGCAUGAUAUUGAUUUGAAAGGUGCAAAUGCAUCACUAAGAGAUGGACCUGCGUUGUAUUAGCUAGUUGGUGAGGUAACGGCUCACCAAGGCGACGAUACAUAGCCGACCUGAGAGGGUGAUCGGCCACACUGGGACUGAGACGCGGCCCAGACUCCUACGGGAGGCAGCAGUAGGGAAUCUUCGGCAAUGGGGGCAACCCUGACCGAGCAACGCCGCGUGAGUGAAGAAGGUUUUCGGAUCGUAAAGCUCUGUUGUAAGAGAAGAACGAGUGUGAGAGUGGAAAGUUCGCACUGUGACGGUAACUUACCAGAAAGGGACGGCUAACUACGUG